AAGACUGGGAUAACUCCGGGAAACCGGGGCUAAUACCGGAUGGUUGUUUGAACCGCAUGGUUCAGACAUAAAAGGUGGCUUCGGCUACCACUUACAGAUGGACCCGCGGCGCAUUAGCUAGUUGGUGAGGUAACGGCUCACCAAGGCGACGAUGCGUAGCCGACCUGAGAGGGUGAUCGGCCACACUGGGACUGAGACACGGCCCAGACUCCUACGGGAGGCAGCAGUAGGGAAUCUUCCGCAAUGGACGAAAGUCUGACGGAGCAACGCCGCGUGAGUGAUGAAGGUUUUCGGAUCGUAAAGCUCUGUUGUUAGGGAAGAACAAGUGCCGUUCAAAUAGGGCGGCACCUUGACGGUACCUAACCAGAAAGCCACGGCUAACUACGUGCCAGCAGCCGCGGUAAUACGUAGGUGGCAAGCGUUGUCCGGAAUUAUUGGGCGUAAAGGGCUCGCAGGCGGUUUCUUAAGUCUGAUGUGAAAGCCCCCGGCUCAACCGGGGAGGGUCAUUGGAAACUGGGGAACUUGAGUGCAGAAGAGGAGAGUGGAAUUCCACGUGUAGCGGUGAAAUGCGUAGAGAUGUGGAGGAACACCAGUGGCGAAGGCGACUCUCUGGUCUGUAACUGACGCUGAGGAGCGAAAGCGUGGGGAGCGAACAGGAUUAGAUACCCUGGUAGUCCACGCCGUAAACGAUGAGUGCUAAGUGUUAGGGGGUUUCCGCCCCUUAGUGCUGCAGCUAACGCAUUAAGCACUCCGCCUGGGGAGUACGGUCGCAAGACUGAAACUCAAAGGAAUUGACGGGGGCCCGCACAAGCGGUGGAGCAUGUGGUUUAAUUCGAAGCAACGCGAAGAACCUUACCAGGUCUUGACAUCCUCUGACAAUCCUAGAGAUAGGACGUCCCCUUCGGGGGCAGAGUGACAGGUGGUGCAUGGUUGUCGUCAGCUCGUGUCGUGAGAUGUUGGGUUAAGUCCCGCAACGAGCGCAACCCUUGAUCUUAGUUGCCAGCAUUCAGUUGGGCACUCUAAGGUGACUGCCGGUGACAAACCGGAGGAAGGUGGGGAUGACGUCAAAUCAUCAUGCCCCUUAUGACCUGGGCUACACACGUGCUACAAUGGACAGAACAAAGGGCAGCGAAACCGCGAGGUUAAGCCAAUCCCACAAAUCUGUUCUCAGUUCGGAUCGCAGUCUGCAACUCGACUGCGUGAAGCUGGAAUCGCUAGUAAUCGCGGAUCAGCAUGCCGCGGUGAAUACGUUCCC
rnacentral:rRNA from 1 species